UGUGAUGCGGGUUCAUGUAUUCCACAUGAACCAUAUGAUGCUUAUGUUUAUGUAUAUAUGUUGUGUUUCAGAAAGCGGAAUGCGAGGCACUCGUCGAUCUGCACUAUUGACUGGAGUCCCACCAGAGAAUGAGGGCAUGGAUGCCCGUCCUCCUGCAUUUCCAAGGGCAAUGUCUAGUAGGUCCAGUAGAGAAGGAACAUCAAGUGUAAC
rnacentral:lncRNA from 1 species